GUGGGGAAUAUUGGACAAUGGGCGCAAGCCUGAUCCAGCCAUGCCGCGUGAGUGAUGAAGGCCUUAGGGUUGUAAAGCUCUUUCGUCAGGGAAGAUAAUGACGGUACCUGAAGAAGAAGCCCCGGCUAACUUCGUGCCAGCAGCCGCGGUAAUACGAAGGGGGCUAGCGUUGCUCGGAAUCACUGGGCGUAAAGCGCACGUAGGCGGCUUUCUAAGUCAGGGGUGAAAUCCUGGAGCUCAACUCCAGAACUGCCUUUGAUACUGGAGAGCUUGAGUUCGGGAGAGGUGAGUGGAACUGCGGGUGUAGAGGUGAAAUUCGUAGAUAUUCGCAAGAACACCAGUGGCGAAGGCGGCUCACUGGCCCGAUACUGACGCUGAGGUGCGAAAGCGUGGGGAGCAAACAGGAUUAGAUACCCGGGUAGUCC
rnacentral:rRNA from 1 species